AGGUUAAGUUAACAAGGGCGCAUGGUGAAUGCCUUGGCACUAGGAGCCGAUGAAGGACGGGACUAACACCGAUAUGCUUCGGGGAGCUGUACGUAAGCUAUGAUCCGGAGAUUUCCGAAUGGGGCAACCCAGCAGUUUUAAUCAACUGUUACCACUAGAUGAAUUCAUAGUCUAGUUGGAGGUAAACGCUGUGAACUGAAACAUCUCAUUAGCAGCAGGAAUAUAAAGAAAUUUCGAUUCCCUAAGUAGCGGCGAGCGAACGGGGAACAGCCCAAACCAAAGUGCUUGCACUUUGGGGUUGUAGGACUGAACAUUUGAGUUACCAAAGAACUUGAUAGUCGAAGGAUUUGGGAAAAUCCGCCAUAGAUGGUGAUAGCCCAGUAGAUUAAAUCAAAUUCUCUCAGUUCAGGAUCCUGAGUACGGCGGAACACGUGAAAUUCCGUCGGAAUCCGGGAGGACCAUCUCCCAAGGCUAAAUACUACCUAGUGACCGAUAGUGAACCAGUACCGUGAGGGAAAGGUGAAAAGCACCCCGGGAGGGGAGUGAAAUAGUUCCUGAAACCAUGUGCCUACAAUAAGUCAGAGCGCGUUAAUGCGUGAUGGCGUGCCUUUUGUAGAAUGAACCGGCGAGUUAUGAUCCCGUGCAAGGUUAAGACUAAAAAGUCGGAGCCGUAGCGAAAGCGAGUCUGAAAUGGGCGUUUUGAGUACGAGGUUAUAGACCCGAAACCAGGUGACCUAUCCAUGUCCAGGUUGAAGGUGCGGUAAAACGCACUGGAGGACCGAACCCGUGUAAGUUGAAAAUUGCUGGGAUGAGGUGUGGAUAGCGGUGAAAUUCCAAACGAACUUGGAGAUAGCUGGUUCUCUCCGAAAUAGCUUUAGGGCUAGCCUCGGAAUUAGGAUCAUGGAGGUAGAGCACUAUUUGGACUAGGGGCCCGUCUUGGGUUACUGAAUUCAGAUAAACUCCGAAUGCCAUUGAUUCAUAUCCGGGAGUCAGACGAUGAGUGAUAAGAUCCACCGUCGAAAGGGGAACAGCCCAGACCAUCAGUUAAGGUCCCUAAAUGUAUGCUAAGUGGAAAAGGAUGUGGAGUUGCAUAGACAACUAGGAUGUUGGCUCAGAAGCAGCCACCAUUUAAAGAGUGCGUAAUAGCUCACUAGUCGAGUGAUCCUGCGCCGAAAAUGUACCGGGGCUAAGCAUACUACCGAAACCAUGGAUGCGACCAUUAGGUCGCGUGAUAGGAGAGCGUUCUAAGGGCGGUGAAGCAAGAUCGUGAGGACUUGUGGAGCGCUUAGAAGUGAGAAUGCCGGUAUGAGUAGCGAAAGAUAGGUGAGAAUCCUAUCCACCGAAUGACUAAGGUUUCCUGGGGAAGGCUCGUCCUCCCAGGGUUAGUCGGGACCUAAGUCGAGGCCGAGAGGCGUAGACGAUGGAUAACAGGUUGAGAUUCCUGUACUAGUUAAGUGCGUUUGAGCAAUGGAGGGACGCAGGAGGCUAAGAUGUGCAUUCUGUUGGAUUAGAAUGUCCAAGCAGUAAGUCUUGUGAAGAGUCAAAUGCUUUUCACUUUAAGGACAAGCUGUGAUGAGGAGCGAAAUUUAGUAGCGAAGCGUCUGAUGUCACACUGCCGAGAAAAGCUUCUAGUGAGUACUUAACUACCCGUACCGCAAACCGACACAGGUAGUCGAGGAGAGAAUCCUAAGGUGAGCGAGUGAACUCUCGUUAAGGAACUCGGCAAAAUGACCCCGUAACUUCGGGAGAAGGGGUGCUGAUCGCAAGAUCAGCCGCAGUGAAUAGGCCCAGGCGACUGUUUAUCAAAAACACAGGUCUCUGCAAAAUCGUAAGAUGACGUAUAGGGGCUGACGCCUGCCCGGUGCUGGAAGGUUAAAAGGAUGGGUUAGCUUCGGCGAAGCUCAGAAUUGAAGCCCCAGUAAACGGCGGCCGUAACUAUAACGGUCCUAAGGUAGCGAAAUUCCUUGUCGGGUAAGUUCCGACCCGCACGAAAGGCGUAACGAUCUGGGCACUGUCUCAACGAGAGACUCGGUGAAAUUAUAUUGUCCGUGAAGAUGCGGACUACCCGCGACAGGACGGAAAGACCCCAUGGAGCUUUACUGUAGCUUGAUAUUGAGUGUUUGUACAGCUUGUACAGGAUAGGUAGGAGCCAUAGAAACCGGAACGCUAGUUUCGGUGGAGGCGUUGGUGGGAUACUACCCUCGCUGUAUGACCACUCUAACCCGCACCACUAAUCGUGGUGGGAGACAGUGUCAGGUGGGCAGUUUGACUGGGGCGGUCGCCUCCUAAAAAGUAACGGAGGCGCCCAAAGGUUCCCUCAGAAUGGUUGGAAAUCAUUCGCAGAGUGUAAAGGCACAAGGGAGCUUGACUGCGAGACAGACAGGUCGAGCAGGGACGAAAGUCGGGCUUAGUGAUCCGGUGGUACCGUAUGGAAGGGCCAUCGCUCAACGGAUAAAAGCUACCCUGGGGAUAACAGGCUUAUCUCCCCCAAGAGUCCACAUCGACGGGGAGGUUUGGCACCUCGAUGUCGGCUCAUCGCAUCCUGGGGCUGUAGUCGGUCCCAAGGGUUGGGCUGUUCGCCCAUUAAAGCGGUACGCGAGCUGGGUUCAGAACGUCGUGAGACAGUUCGGUCCCUAUCCGUCGCGGGCGUAGGAAAUUUGAGAGGACCUGUCCUUAGUACGAGAGGACCGGGAUGGACAUACCUCUGGUGUACCAGUUGUGCCGCCAGGCGCAUCGCUGGGUAGCUACGUAUGGAUGUGAUAAACGCUGAAAGCAUCUAAGUGUGAAACACACCUCGAGAUGAGAUUUCCCAUUCCUUUAUGGAAGUAAGACCCCUGAAAGAUGAUCAGGUAGAUAGGUUAGAAGUGGCAGUGCGGUGACGCAUGAAGCGGACUAAUACUAAUCGGUCGAGGACUUAACCAAG
rnacentral:rRNA from 2 species